rnacentral:rRNA from 1 species
GAUGAACGCUAGCUACAGGCUUAACACAUGCAAGUCGAGGGGCAGCAUGGUCUUAGCUUGCUAAGGCUGAUGGCGACCGGCGCACGGGUGAGUAACACGUAUCCAACCUGCCGUCUACUCUUGGCCAGCCUUCUGAAAGGAAGAUUAAUCCAGGAUGGCAUCAUGAGUUCACAUGUCCGCAUGAUUAAAGGUAUUUUCCGGUAGACGAUGGGGAUGCGUUCCAUUAGAUAGUAGGCGGGGUAACGGCCCACCUAGUCAACGAUGGAUAGGGGUUCUGAGAGGAAGGUCCCCCACAUUGGAACUGAGACACGGUCCAAACUCCUACGGGAGGCAGCAGUGAGGAAUAUUGGUCAAUGGGCGAUGGCCUGAACCAGCCAAGUAGCGUGAAGGAUGACUGCCCUAUGGGUUGUAAACUUCUUUUAUAAAGGAAUAAAGUCGGGUAUGCAUACCCG